GAGAUAUUAGUAAAAAUUAUGUAACUUUGUCAAAGUUAAAUUACAGGUUCAAAUCUUUUAUAUCUCU
rfam:Ovis aries breed Texel chromosome 16, whole genome shotgun sequence.